CUCAGAGCUAGCACAAUAGACUGUGAGGGGAAGCCGCACUCCCUGAUCAGGGCAGAUCAGGAGGAUUCCAAGUGUAAUUGGCCUCCAGGGAGUAUGUAAGUCACUCUUGUACACCCCCUCAGACCUCCUUAAUGCCUUGCCAGCUGGAAGGAAAAGAGCCUCUUGCAUUGCCCACAAAGGAAGCAGAGAUUGAGGGGAGAAGAACUGGAGAAAUUAAAAAAGUGGAAAGAGACAGCAACACAAAUAAAGAGGUUGAGUACCAGUAGAAACCUCAUAUUUACCUGGAAGAUUACUUUUAGGAAGCUUGAAGAAUUCUCUCUUCCAACUUGGUUGGAUUUCCUGUAAGAUUUUAAAUGAAGAAAGUCUUCUACUGCUGUAUAAAGAAAAAAAAAAGAAGAAGAAAGGCCUGGGCUGGUCCAGAGCUGACCUAGGCAUGAAAAUUCCUCCCCGCCUACCAUUCCCAGCCUCUUUGGAGUGAAUGAAGGCUCUGUCCAAGGGCUCAUUCUGUCAUGAGCUAGUCAUGGGUAAAGGGUUCCAAGGACUUUCCUACCUAGUGUCAGAUCAGAGCCUGGGAGUGGCUGGGAGUGGAGGCGUUGCUCAACUGAUCUUUGGUGGAGGUGCUUUUGGCCUAAUGGAAGGGAUGGAUCUCACUAUGUUGCCAAGGCUGGCUCGAGAACUCCUGGGCUCAACCAAUCCUCCUGCCUCAGCCUCCCAAAUAGCUGGGACUACAGGUGUGUGCCGCCACUCUCCCCUUUUUAUUGGAAGAGAGUUCAUAGAGGACUGAGCACCUAUUUAGUAUAUGUUUCUAGGUUUGGUUACAAUUUGUUAAGAAAAGUAGAUUUGCAAACUCACUACUUUUGAAAUAUUAAAAAUACAUGCCAUGAAUUUCUACUUCAGCACAGAUUUGGACAACCACCUUAUGUAUGGAAAGAAAAUUUACUGAAUUUAGUGCUAGGCAUAGAUGAGAAUUUCUACUUGAAAAAAGCCCUUAAAACUUUUCCUGCUGUACUGUUCAAUUAUUAAUAUAUUUAAUGCACAGACGCAGUUCACAAUGUGGACUGAUGUGAACUUGUGUUGCAUUGGCUUUAUAAAUUAGGACAGUUGAUUUUACUUAUCCUCCUGAUUUGCCCAGAUAUGAUCUCUAUAAAAAAUCACAGAAAUUUUUGUAAAAUAAUCUUGCAGUUCUUGUUUUUGCUCUUUUUCUUAUUUUUUUCUCAACAAAAAAUUAUUUCUGAUGUUCUAUUUUCACUUAAAUGAAAACAUUCCAUGGAAGAAGUACAAAGAAGUAAUGCUUUGAAAUGACAGUCCCUGAAUUUUCAAGAAAGCCAGAUUCUUCCACAUCCAUAGUCUUCCUUUGUCCUGUUAAUAAUCCUCAUGAUGAGAGGAAAGUUACUGCCUAGUGUUUUAUGACUGGGAGAAUGGAGUAACAAGAAUCUAAGUGGUCAGAAGUAGAGAUUGUCAAGAAUACAGGCUCUCAGGUUUUGGUGUCUGUGCUCCAUCAGCCAAACUUUGCCCUUUUCUAGAAAAGACCCAAGUGGUGAAGUCACUAAUUUUGUCAUUGUUAUUAUGUACUGGAGAAAAAUUAAAUGAUCCACCUCUUUAUCAUAUACUGAACUUUCAUGAUAAGUAACACAUGUGGAGUAACCAAGGCUUAGCCAACUAGGGAUUAAUGUUAGAAAAUGAAUUUUGCUUUCUCUAUACUUGUUUAGAAAUAGCAAAAGUUCUGUAAGGGGAUGGCUAGGGGCCAAUGGGAGAGGUGAAGGACCUUUAUCACAGUAUUUGUUUGGUCCCCAUCAAAGUUCCUGGGUGCCAUGGAAAAGUGUUUUUCUUUUCUGGACCCUUUACUUCAUCUGCAAAAUGGUGAGGCAGUUAAACUCUCUGGCUUGCUUUUAUCUUACAGGCAUUCAGUGAGGUAUAUAACCUGCAAUAUUUCUUAAAAGUUGUAUAGGUUUUGCUGACCUGAAUUCUUUCAUGUUCUUCUUCAUCCUACAUGUGUAACUAUUCCAUGUUAUCGGUCCCCACGAUGAAAGAUAAUGAAUGGACUUUUCAUCCAUGUGGCUGUGAUCAGUUCCUAAAGCAGAGGAAUCUGCAGCCUAAUGACACAUCAGGAAUUGAUGGAACCCCAGCAGACAGCUUCUAUGAGGAGAUUAGGACUCUCAGAAGAGACACCAGAGGCGUGGCCACACAGAGAAAAAGAUCAUGUGGGGACACAGUGAAAAGGCAGCCAUCAUAAGCCACAGAGAGAGGACUCAGAAGAAACCAACUCUGCUGACACCUUCAUCUUGAACUUCUAGCCUCUAGAACUGUGAAAAAACAAAUUUCUGUUGUUAAGACACCCGGUCUGUGGUAUUUUGUUAAGACAGCCCUAGCAAACUAACACAAUUUUGUACACUAAAUAAAGUCCAAUUCAAUUUUAAUUUUAUAGAAACUGAAACAAAUAAUUUAAAGAUUUACUUAGUAAAUUACUUCAGAUUGGGAUCAAAUGUGUACAUGAAUUAUGAAAAUGUAAGAAAUGGAUAUUUAAAUAAGUAUACCAGAACAUAAAAAUUCCAGUGCCUGGUUUUUUUUUUUUUUUUGAAAGCCACUUAUCCCAACAAUAAAACUGAUGCUCAAAAUA
rnacentral:lncRNA from 10 species